rnacentral:rRNA from 1 species
GACGAACGCUGGCGGCGUGCUUAACACAUGCAAGUCGAGCGGUAAGGCCCUUUCGGGGGUACACGAGCGGCGAACGGGUGAGUAACACGUGGGUGACCUGCCCUCAGCUCUGGGAUAAGCCUGGGAAACCGGGUCUAAUACUGGAUAUGACUCCAUGACGCAUGUUGUGGGGUGGAAAGCCUUGUGCGGCUGAGGAUGGGCCCGCGGCCUAUCAGCUUGUUGGUGGGGUGANGGCCUACCAAGGCGACGACGGGUAGCCGGCCUGAGAGGGCGACCGGCCACACUGGGACUGAGACACGGCCCAGACUCCUACGGGAGGCAGCAGUGGGGAAUAUUGGACAAUGGGCGAAAGCCUGAUCCAGCGAUGCCGCGUGUGUGAAGAAGGCCU